GGACGAAGCUGCAGCUCUCAGGCGCUGGACGCUGAGCGGCAGCUGGUGGGGCAACCUGCACAGCUGAGUCCUCAAGGCCUAGGCAACACCAGCUCCUCCUCCGGCCCUAGAUGUUCAGGAGCAAAGACCACCGAAGUCAGAUUUCUCCACCGACUUUCCAGGCUGGGAAAUGAUGGCAACACCCUUGGUGCCGGCCUCCAAACCCUCCACAUCCGUGCUGUUCUCCUUUAGCAGAGGAAUGGGUGCCUCCGCCAUACGAGGGAUGGACGACCCAUAAAGGGCUUUU